AUCCAACCUAAAGGGUGAGGGUGGUCCACAGCAGACGUCCCAGGCUGGAGUGGUGGCCGCGAACGGAGACGGGUGCUCGGGCCUGCGCCCUUCCUUGCUCAGGUCGCGGUGGGGACGCGCGGGCUGCACCCACGGUUACCUCUAAGGCCCAGAGCAAGUGUUCUCUGCCAGAGGCGGGGAAAACCGAGGGAUACGGGCCCGGGAACCGAGCGGCUGAUCCGUUCGACCGUUCUUCAUUCCGGCUGGGCACACUCUGAACACCUCCGUUCGGUUUCUGCGCUAGGUGCUGCGGAUACGUCGGUGAGCGAGAGAAACCACGGGCCUUCUUCCCGCUGAUCCUGCAGCCCCAGUGGAUGGAGCCCCGAGCCCACCGACCUGUCAGGAAAGAAAAAAAACGUCCUGAUGGUUGGUCCCAGCAGGGACGCCCAGGUGGACUGAGGAAUGUGUGGCCCCUCCUCAGCGCAUUGAUCCCUGUGGCAAUCUCGAGUAUCCCCCAGAAAACCCCAAAAUGAGAGGCCUGCAGUCUGCAAGUCGCUGCUAGAAAUACUUUAGUUUCUCCUGAAAACAGAAUGCAGCCAACGCGCAAGUUUGCAAGGGCCUUGUGUGCCUGCUGAGCGUGCGCAGGCGCGCACGCUCGCGGUUGGCUCCAGCUCCGGACCAGGUGCUACCAUAGCAACGUCCUGGACGCCCAGACCUCUGGUUGCCGCCGCCGCCACCGGCGCGGAGGGAGACCCGCCUUCUCCCUCGCGAGGGCGUGGCGGCGGCGGCAGUGUAAGG